AUCCCAGCGCCCCGAGUAGCGACCGCUAUUACUAGGCCUAAAGCGUCCGUAGCCGGUUAGGUAAAUCUUCUGUGAAAUUGUUGGGCUUAACCCAUCAGCGUGCAGAGGAGACUGCCUAGCUAGGGACCGGGAGGCGCAGAAAGUAUUCUGGGGGGAGUGGUAAAAUGCGAUAAUCCCCAGAGGACUACCUGUGGCGAAGGCGUUCUGCGAGAACGGGUCCGACGGUGAGGGACGAAGGCUGGGGGAGCAAACCGGAUUAGAUACCCGGGUAGUCCCAGCAGUAAACUCUGCGAGCCAGGCGUUGCAUGUCUGAUGAGGACUUGCAGUGCCGAAGCGAAGGCGUUGAGCUCGCCGCCUGGGGAGUACGGUCGCAAGGCUGAA
rnacentral:rRNA from 1 species